GCAAGCAUGGCAUAGUGGUUUGAGUGUUGGACUGCAACUCUGAAGACUGGGGUUCAAUUCCCCACACGGCCA